AGACAGAGGGUGCGAGCGUUAAUCGGAAUUACUGGGCGUAAAGCGCACGUAGGUGGUUUAUUAAGUCGGAUGUGAAAGCCCUGGGCUCAACCUGGGAAAGCCAUUCGAAACUGUUAGACUAGAGUACGGUAGAGGAAAGUGGAAUUUCCGGUGUAGCGGUGAAAUGCGUAGAUAUCGGAAGGAACACCGGUGGCGAAGGCGACUUUCUGGACUGAUACUGACACUGAGGAGCGAAAGCGUGGGGAGCAAACAGGAUUAGAAACCCGAGUAGUCC
rnacentral:rRNA from 1 species